rnacentral:misc_RNA from 1 species
GUAGGUGAACCUGCGGAAGGAUCAUUGACGCUUUGAGGAGGGAAAGAGUGAAGAGCGGGGGAGUAACUUCUCCUGAGAGAGAAAUCAAAUACUGGAUUCACAUUACUACAACUUUUAACAAUGGAUCUCUUGGCUCUU